rnacentral:rRNA from 1 species
CGCCCGCUCCCCUUCCUUAUCUUCUUCUGCGCAAGCACAACCACCAGUUAGUUAUCCCCUCGUUUUCCUACUUUUUCUUCAUGCACCGCUUCUUUUUUCCCCAAGCUCGCUGAUCUCGCCAUGGCUGCCAAUUUUUUCUGCUGCGCGAGAGAGCACCCACCAGAGGGGCGCCGCCGUUAGGGGCUGUCGCUGCUCGCACCAAUCAAGGGUUGCAGCCACGAUGCCGUCCCGUCGUUGUUGCGGAGCCAAGAACGGGGGCGCGGUGCCCCGGGGCUGCCAUUGAUGCAAGCCAAGCACAAGAGAUGCGACGGCCAUGGAGGGGAUGUUGGAUGCGUGUUGCAACCGGCUGGCAGAGGAGCUGGGACCGGCGAGGCGAGAAGCUGCAAGCACUUUUCGACCGGUUCUGGAACCAGACGGUGCGAGAUCAUUUUUGCGGGGACCGGCGACAAUUUUUGCUGAAACCGGUCGGCGGUGGCGGCAAUCCAAAGGUGGAAACGCUGUGCUACAGUGGGCAGCGCGGGUUGCUGGAACCGAAGUUUGAUAGAGCUGCAUCCAUGGUGGUGGUGAUGGAAUGACGACGAGGCAAGGAAGGCGUGUGACGACGGCGAAUCGGCGGAGAGGCGGAGAUCUGGCGGGUCAGGUCGCUCGUCCAUGGCUUUCGCGCCCGCUGUGUGUGCUCGCAUGAUUUGCAGUGGGGAAAAAGAAAGGAAAGGUGUGCCAGGGAUGAAAAGUGUUUUGAAUCUGAUGGUUAAAGGGGCAUUAAUCGAACGUCGACCGACCCAAAUUUGAGCUGGCGCACCGGCCCUAUGAGUCGCCAAUAGGAAUUGCCAUUUGGCGCAUAGAUCACGGGAUAGCGUCAUGACACGUACCAUUAUGUUUUUUUCAUCAGUUUUGGCAAGGUAGCAGAACCUUCUUGAAUCAGUUUUUUUCUCCUUUUAUUUGUUUUUUCUUCUGGGUUUUUAUUUCUUUUAACUUUUUCAUUUUCAUUUUCAUUUUAGUUUCCUAUUCCGUUUUCCUUUUUCUUUCUUUCUUGUCUUUUUAUUCCGUUUUCUAUUCCAUUUCUUGAAUCAGCUAUAAAUUACAUUUCUGAAGGUUGCUCUUAAAAAUUCAAAUGAACACAUGUAUUUUAUAAUUUUAUUGCUUUUUAAUUGUUUUGCGAAGUGUCUUAUAAUAAACACUCAUCAAAGAACCUGGG